GGCAGCCCUUACCAUGCCAAGUUCGAGCGGCAGCGACAACAUUGAACUUCGGGGGGAUUUGUUGGGCGGCGAGUGAAAAAAAAGGGAAAGUAAUGCCUGGGAAAUGCCUGAAAAUGGCCCUUUAACCAAAGGAAACGAUGGCUAAUACCGCAUGAUAGCUUCGGCUCAAAGAGGGGGACCUUCGGGCCUCUCGCGUCAGGAUAUGCCCAGGUGGGAUUAGCUAGUUGGUGAGGUAAGGGCUCACCAAGGCGACGAUCCCUAGCUGGUCUGAGAGGAUGAUCAGCCACACUGGAACUGAGACACGGUCCAGACUCCUACGGGAGGCAGCAGUGGGGAAUAUUGCACAAUGGGCGCAAGCCUGAUGCAGCCAUGCCGCGUGUAUGAAGAAGGCCUUCGGGUUGUAAAGUACUUUCAGCAGUGAGGAAGGAGAUAUCGUUAAUAGCGGUAUCUUUUGACGUUAGCUGCAGAAGAAGCACCGGCUAACUCCGUGCCAGCAGCCGCGGUAAUACGGAGGGUGCGAGCGUUAAUCGGAAUUACUGGGCGUAAAGCGCAUGCAGGUGGUUUGUUAAGUCAGAUGUGAAAGCCCGGGGGCUCAACCUCGGAAUUGCAUUUGAAACUGGCAGGCUAGAGUACUGUAGAGGGGGGUAGAAUUUCAGGUGUAGCGGUGAAAAUGCGUAAAGAUCUGAAAGGAAAUACCCGGGUGGGCGAAAGGCGGCC
rnacentral:rRNA from 1 species